AGGGCUGUGGCUCAGUGGUAGAACAUCUGCCUUGCAUGCAGAAGGUCCCAGGUUCAAAGCCCGGCAUUUCCA